AAUCAACGCUGGCGGCGUGCCUCAGACAUGCAAGUCGAACGCGAAAUUUCCCUUCGGGGAGAAAGUAGAGUGGCGCACGGGUGAGUAACACGUAGGUAAUUUGCCUUUGGGUGGGGAAUAACUCAGGGAAACUUGAGCUAAUACCGCAUAAUGCAGCGGCUCGACAUCGAGACAGUUGUUAAAGCGGGGGAUUGGAGCAAUCCGACCUCGCGCCUAAAGAGAAGCCUGCGGCAGAUUAGCUAGUUGGUAAGGUAAUGGCUUACCAAGGCGACGAUCUGUAACCGGCCUGAGAGGGCGGUCGGUCACACUGACACUGACAGUAC
rnacentral:rRNA from 1 species